AACAAAGCAAUGAACGGAAUAAGUAGUCUGCUGUCCCUGUUAUACAGAGAGCUUUCGGCUGGUGGAAGAAAGCACAAACAGUGAGAUGAAUUACCUCCAGGAGCUUUCACCGUGAACAAUUAGUAGCGGCUGACGUCCACCGUCGUUAACCGGUGUUGAGUGGAGAAUAUGUUUGUUUUCUCAAGCUUGGGUGGUACCGCGCAUAAAUAGCGUCCCUGCA
rnacentral:ncRNA from 1 species